UGCCUACGGGACGCAGCAGUAGGGAAUAUUGGUCAAUGGCCGAGAGGCUGAACCAGCCAAGUCGCGUGAGGGAUGACGGCCCUACGGGUUGUAAACCUCUUUUGUCGGGGAGCAAGACCCGCCUCGUGCAGGCGGAGCGAGAGUACCCGAAGAAAAAGCAUCGGCUAACUCCGUGCCAGCAGCCGCGGUAAUACGUAGGGGGCAAGCGUUAUCCGGAUUUACUGGGUGUAAAGGGAGCGUAGACGGCAGAGCAAGUCUGAAGUGAAAGCCCGCGCCCCAACUGCGGGACUGCUUUGGAAACUGCC
rnacentral:rRNA from 1 species